UUGAGACCUACACCCUAGUAUCUUGGUUUUAUUGGUGUUACCUGGAGUUAUUGCCCAAAGCCUGUAGUACCUAAAACUUUGACAUCAAUACUGCUUCACUUAUCUUAAAAAACAGUGUGUGUGUGUGGUUUUUUUUCAUAAUGUUGGGAUAGUUUACAGUUACAUAUGUAAAGGAAAGUAAUGCAAGUAAUAUUGUUAGGAAAUGCAUAAGCAGGGGGAAAAAUAAUAGGGGAGAAAAAGAAGACUAUUGUGAUAGUUUUCAUUAAAAGCAAACAUUUUUACAUCACUAUUAUAUUUUUUUUUUUCCCCAAACAAUCCUACAGCAAUCCUGUACAGCUCCUUAAAGUAACCUUUCAUUUCUUGCAGAAUUUUUACCUUCUUCAUCAGCAGAAAUCCCAGUGGCAAACACAUAGAUCCUGAAGAUCAGAUUUGAUUCAGUAAGGUAGAGUGACAGGUGUACAAGAAAUGGAAUAAUCUAACCUGAGAGUGUGCAAGCAUUCUGGAAAUACAAAACCUAAGGAUUCUGUCUAUGUGGUUUUUUGUAUUCUCACCAGUGGCCACAGUCCUCCAAGGAUUGAUGGGUGAAUGCUGCGAGGUGGUCCAGGCGACUCUAUGGAACAUUCUCCAAUGGGCUAGUAGAAUGAGAAGAUCCAAAAGUAGUUUGGAAAACAAGGAGAAACAUCACCUCUCAUGACGGUAAACUUACCGAGAAGGUAAUUCAUGUUAGACUGUUGUUGCACAGCCCGCUCUUAAAGCUCAUGUAUGUAACAUGUAGCAGAAAACUAGUAGGGAAUGCUGUUUGAAUUUUCAUACUAAGUCCUCUGACUUUCUACCCCUUUCCUUGUGUGAGGGAGAAUUUGGAGGCUAUAUUUUAUGGAACUUUUCUUGCUUUCCCUUGAAAUUGUGCAAGAGCAUAAAUAAAAAAUUUACAGUGACUUAACA
rnacentral:lncRNA from 1 species